UGCAGAAUCAUGGCCCAUAAAGACAGAUAAAGAAGGACCAGGUUGCACAGCCAUUUUUGGCAACUCUGAAGUUAGGAAUUUCUUGCACAGAUCCUUGGGUUGAACAGGAUGGCUUACAAGGCUCCCUCCAAUCCCAGGAACCUUUAAAGCCCUUUCGGGCCAAGAUCAAAGCCAGAGACACAUGCCAAUGAAAGAGCCGACUGUGGAGAUCUUACCUGGCAGUUGUUUAGUUCUUCGAUAACUUCUCUGUUUUCUUUACUGAUGUCACACACACAAAUGAACUCUGCCUCUCUGUGUCCUUUAAAAAACUUUUCACGAAUCCGUUGUACCACGGCAACAGCAGAACGGCCAGAAGGAACGGAACAAUUUUCAAUAUCCCAAAAGACUCCGAUGGGAGGCAGGUUUUCUAGCAGUUGGCCUGUUAGAGCAACCUCUGGAGACCCUGUAUUUCAAAAGAAUAAACUGUCAACUUUCAA